rnacentral:rRNA from 1 species
AGGACGAACGCUGGCGGCGUGCCUAACACAUGCAAGUCGAACGAGGUCCAAUCUGUAGCAAUACAGAUGAAGACCUAGUGGCGAACGGGUGAGUAGCACGUGAGCAACCUGCCCCGAAGACCGGGACAACACCGGGAAACCGGUGCUAAUACCGGAUAUCCCCAUCGAGUCGCAUGGCUUGAUGAGGAAAUGGAUUCCGCUUCGGGAGGGGCUCGCGGCCUAUCAGCUUGUUGGUGAGGUAACGGCUCACCAAGGCUUCGACGGGUAGCUGGUCUGAGAGGACGAUCAGCCACACUGGGACUGAGACACGGCCCAGACUCCUACGGGAGGCAGCAGUGGGGAAUCUUGCACAAUGGGCGAAAGCCUGAUGCAGCAACGCCGCGUGAGGGACGAAGGCUUUCUGAGUUGUAAACCUCUUUCAGCAGGGACGAUUGUGACGGUACCUGCAGAAGAAGCCCCGGCAACUACGUGCCAGCAGCCG